ACUAACUUGAUGUCCCAAAUGUGAACUGAACAAGGACACUAUCAUAAUUAGUUCUAAUAGUGUAUGGGUUCUGAUCUGGAUCAUCAGGAGUUUAGACACAAGACUUUGGGAGCCUCUCUGUUUCCCGGGCAGCAAUCCCUAAGAUCUUAGUCGCCUCUACAGCCCAUUUCUAGUAUGUCCUGCUUCACCUUUACUCUCCUGAGUAAGACAGAGCACGAGGCCAUUCUGGACCCUCAUACAGGUUUGCACAGGAUGCUCCAAUACCUCGGUAACAGCAGCAUUGAAGAUGUUGGGUGUCGGAACUCAUUCGUGGCCUCCCUGUAGCCUUGGCUUGAACCUCAGGAGAAUGCAGCCCAAGAGGAAGAAGUUGGUGCUUGGAAGAAUUAAAUAGGAGGCAAGGUCAAAGCCCGAGCGGUGCACAUGUUUGGAACUGAAAUGGAAUAUUUCUGCCACUUUGCUCCUCUGCUGAUACACCUCAUAUAAUAUAAAACCCCUGUGCUUAAGAUGGAUUCAUGUAAUAAUUAGUAUAGAUGUCUCUUCUUAUUAUUAGCUGACAGGUAACCUCCAUAUGACUUGAAGUGUUUAAGACAAAUCUGUAGCACUUAUUUUAGGAGAGGUUAGAAGAACUCUUUGUGAGUGCUAAGGGGCAGGGUUUCCUGAGCAGCUCUGUGGGCAUUUUCUCUAAUGCUUGCUGCAGUGGGCGUCAUGACCAGUGCUGCUUCCAUUUUCUCGGUGAGCAUCUUCUCAUUCCUAAACAUUUUAGGUGGAUCUCUUAAGGAAAAUUAAUGGAGGACUUUUUGAAGUAUGCUGCAAGUACUGACCUUUGCACCAGGAAGCAAUGCACUUACCUCAUGAGCUUUCGCUAGAAAACUACCGACUUGGAAUACAGUAUAGUUCUCAAUAAAAUGGAGUCAGGAU
ensembl:sense_intronic